UGAACGCUGGCGGCGUGCUUAACACAUGCAAGUCGUACGAGAACUCUUUAGCUUGCUAAAGAUAGUAAAGUGGCGCACGGGUGAGUAACGCGUGGGUAAUCUGCCUCUGAAUCGGGGAUAACAUUGCGAAAGCGAUGCUAAUACCGGAUAAUAUCUCAAAACCAUAUGGUUUUGAAAUUAAAAAUGGCCUCUACACGUAAGCUGUUGUUUGGAGAUGAGCCCGCGUACCAUUAGCUUGUUGGUAGGGUAAUGGCCUACCAAGGCAACGAUGGUUAGCUGGUCUGAGAGGAUGAUCAGCCACACUGGAACUGACACACGGUCCAGACUCCUACGGGAGGCAGCAGUGAGGAAUUUUGCGCAAUGGGGGAAACCCUGACGCAGCAACGCCGCGUGAGUGAUGAAGGCCCUCGGGUCGUAAAGCUCUGUCAAGUGGGAAGAAAAUGUAAAAUGUUAAUACCAUUUUACACUGACGGUACCACUGAAGGAAGCACCGGCUAACUCC
rnacentral:rRNA from 1 species